GCAGAACGACCCGCGAACACGUGAAAACAACCCUGCAGGGGUCCGGGGAGGGGCGCGAGCCCCCGACCGAUCCCUUCGCCGUUCCGCGGCCCCGACCGCAUGCGGUCGUCCGUGGUCCGGCACAAACCAAAAACCCGACGCAAUUGGCGUCAAGGAAAUCUUAGCGGAAACAAGGCCUAGCCCUGCUUGCGGGGCGAAGUCGCGAAUCCGAUAUUUGAACGACUCUCGGCAACGGAUAUCUCGGCUCUUGCAUCGAUGAAGAACGUAGCGAAAUGCGAUACUUGGUGUGAAUUGCAGAAUCCCGUGAACCAUCGAGUCUUUGAACGCAAGUUGCGCCCUAGGCCUUCUGGUCGAGGGCACGUCUGCCUGGGCGUCACGCACAGCGUCGCCCCCCAAUCCACACCUGUUGUGGUAGGGGAGCGGAGAUUGGCCCCCCGAGCCCUCGCGGGCGCGGUCGGCACAAAUGCUGGUCCCUGGCAGCGGUCGCCGCGGUCAAGUGGUGGCUUCAAAUACCAUUUCGGUGACCGGUUGGCUCCGCGGCCAUAGUCGGGACCGAAUCGACCCGCAGAGGCCCGUUCCGACGGCGUUUCACCCU
rnacentral:misc_RNA from 1 species